CAGACGAAAAUCGUAGGCACGCCUGCCCCGAUGGCCGCCGCUCGAUCUGGCACAGCGCAGCGGCGCCGUACUCGUUCGCUGCACACCCGAUCGAUGGAGAAACCCUAGCCAAGUUGUUAUUGCCAGCCAGCAGCAGCAGGCACGGAAUGUCCCGGCCGGUUGGCCGGCGCAUAGCUAGCUACUAGCUAGCGAGCGAGCCUCGCGCCUAUAUAGCCGGCACCGGCCCGCUCACCCUUCCUCACCACGCACGACACCAUCCAUCCACCUCGCCUGUAUAGCUGCGCAUGCGGCCGUGCGGUGGUGAUCGCGCGCGGCGGCCGGCGGUGCUAUUUUGCAGGCCACACGCGCUGGCUGGCUAUCGAUCGGACGGCGGGCGGGCGGCGGCGGCGGCGGCGGGCGGUGACAGAAGAGAGUGAGCACACGGCCGGCGGAACGGCACCGGCGGAUGUGCCGUCGCGGCCGCGUGCUCACUGCUCUAUCUGUCAUCCACUCCCCCCUCCCUCUCCUGUUCCUGUCUCCUCCGCGCGCUCCCCGGCCGCCUUGCCGAUCGAUCGAUCGAUCGAAGCCGCAGCUAGCUAGCCGUCGUGAUCACCGCGCGCACGGCCGGCGCGGCGCUGGCACGCUAGCCGCUACGUGCACCGCUCCACCCGCGCGCCCACCUUCUUGUCCGUGUCAUUGUAUGCCGCGGAAGGGAUCGCCGCUACGUGGCCGCGUUGGUGCCCGGCGGUCGUCCGCAGAAAUUUCCAUUUCUGGGCGGUUCGUACGUACGGCCUGGAUGCUGGAUCUGAGCAUUUGGGCGCGCGCGUGUACCUCCUCUCCGCUCCCCUCCCCAGCACGGAUUCCCUCCCGCCAUUCGCUUGGUACGGACUACAAGCCGCGCGCGCGCUGCUAUCCUGUUCAUGAUUUCCAAGGGAAGCAGCGAAGAAGGGAUGGGAUCCAACCGUUACCCUGCGCCUGCUGCCAGCUUCUCGGGAAGGUAAAUUCUUCCAUGUUCAUCGGUCCGUUUCAGAAGGUACAGUAUGUUGGGUGUUGACCAGAUCCGUUCUGCUUUCCUCAAUUUUGAGAUGAUGAAUGUUACUAGAUAUAUACUACCAGUUCUCUUCGAUCCAAUUGCCCUUUUACAGCAGUACCCGAUCUAAUUAAGUCUCUAGAUUCUGGAUUUCGCCAUGGCAGAAGAGGCUACUGAAAGAAGAAUUCCAAAGGAUUGAAGCACACACACCGGCGCCAGUCGACUCUCCGUCUCAGAUCUGCUUAUAUCAUCGUCACAUUAUUCUCCUUUGAUUUCUCCUUGUCAGGUAGCUAGUCGCCAGCAGCCAUUAUAUUGGUGAUGGCACAUUUGUGUGCUCCAGCCUCCAGGGAAUGGUAGGGUCGCUGUCGCCUGUCGAGACACUGUUCCAUUCGUGACGUCUCGUGCUUAUCUCUUCGAUGAGAGCUGCCCUACUCAUCUUUCAGAGUUUUAUUUUUCCUUGGUGAACUUUCUUGUGAAGUCUUUAACAAUAACAACCGUGCGUGUAGCGUUGUUUUUCUUUGAUUAUAUAUUCUUAAGUUGCAAGAGUCUCAUUUUAAGUUUUUAAAAUAUAUAUAGUGCUCAGACAUAGUGUAUAUCAUAUAAAUAUUUAAACCCUUACAAUUUGGAAGGAACAUAGCUUAUUAGUGGAAUCAAAAUACCUGCGGAUGAAGCAAAUUAGUAAAAAACUAAAAUAUUAGAAUGUAAACUACUCGAUUUUAUGUACAAUCUAAUGAAUAUAGAUAUCAUAUCAUAUAUAGAGAUGAAUUCCAUUCCAGAGUGCCAUUUCUAGGUUCAGUAACUUUUCGUUUUCUUUUGAAACUACAUACCGGUUCAGCAUUAUAAUUGCCUUACCCGAUCCUUCAAGAUUGAUUUGGAAUAAGGGCCGCAUUUCUCAGAAUUAACACAGUUUUUUUAUGACCAAGAGUCAGCUAGGGAAGCGAGCUAGUGCGUAACUGGGUAUACCCAAUCGUUGGUUAUCUGGGUACCCGACUUAUAUAUAGUUCUUUUUUCUUUUUCUUUUCUUGUUCUUGCUUUGAAAUCUGGAUUAGUUUCAAUUGUUUGGGGUCAACCACAUGACGACGCAAAGAAAAGUAAAACUUGCAUUCUAUGGUGAUGAAGAAAUUACUCGAAUCAUGCUACUGCAUAUGUAUAUACGUACCCCUCAACAUACGAAAUUUGAUGGCUUAAGAUCGUGUGUCAGUGUUUUAGUCUUUUUAGCAUUAGAAAACUCUUGUGUUUAUGUGUCAUCAAGAGAGUAUACAUAUACACAUAUGAGAAUAAUUAUUGAUGUGAUUUCUGUGUUAUCCUUUAUCAUUAACAAUAUAUAUGUAACUAGAUGCAAUCCGGCCACUUGGAAAGCGGAGAUUGCUUGAUUUUAUACACGACGGUUAGUGGGUCUCAAAAUUAAAUUUUGUUUUUGUUCAAACAUGCCUGUGCUUAGCAGGACUUUUCUACUCUUAGAUGAAGGAUGUUCAUUUUUCUUACGAAUUUUUGGGUACUACAAAGUAUCUGCUUGACCAGAAUACCUUAAGUAUAUGUGAUGUUACCUCAACUCACUUGUAAGAUUUAUUAACAUCUACUUCCUCCAUCCAAAUUAUAUGUUAUUCUAGCUUUUUAUACAUAAGAGAGAAUUAGGAGUAUGGCCCUGGAACAAACUCGUGUGGCCUUCUUUUUUAAAAAAAUAAUUGCCUCUAUAGUCUCAAAAUAAAAUUUAUUUGGCUCUAUGGCCUUUUGUCAGUUUUGGGUAGGCAAAAAAAAUAUAGAAAAACUCUGUUUUUAUGUGAAUAUAUAUGUGCUUAUGUAUUAGAAAUAUAUAUGUGGUUAUGUGAGAAUAUAUAUGUGUAGUUAUUAUGUAAUGGAAGUGUGUGUGCGCGCACGCACACACACACGCUCAAAUUAUACAAUAAACAAACAAAAGUUUGUUUUUUAUUUUUUGUCAGGGGUAAAAUGGUCUUUUUACUCCUAACUUUUUGAGCAAGAACCGUGGGGCAAAGCCCCCCCCCGGCAACAGGGAAUAUUGAGAGAGAGAGAGAGAGUAACAUCGUUAGCAGUCCAAAACUGACAGAAGACCAUAGAGCUAAAUAAAUUUUGAUUUGAGUCCAUAGAACCAAAAAUUCGAAAAAAGAGGACCAUAUCUAACACAAGUUUUUUCCAGGACCAUAUACCUAAUUCUCUCUAUAUAUAAAUAUAUUUUAUUUACUAUUGACCUAGAUAUACACUAUGUCUAGAUAUGAACGAUAUAUAAUUUAGAAUGGUGGUAAUAGCGAUAAGUUUGAAGAUUUAUGUGUUAUGCAUGAUUUGCACUGAUAGCAUCGAAGCUAAAGGCACAUCAAAUAAGUUUACAUAGAAACUCAAUCUACUACUAGAGAGGGUGAUUCCUCGGUAUGGUCUGAUUGGUCACCUGUAUUAGUCUAUAUCCAGACUUGUGUCGUGCCAUUUGUACAUGUUUGGUUGCCCUCAGAGAUUCUUAAUUAACUUCUUACGUAAACUUAGAGGGUACUCAAAAAAGGUACAAUGUACCAUUAGCCCAUACGCCAGAUUUGAUAGUAUUAGCCAAAAUGCAUAUUUGUACAAUCUGGGCACACCAAAAAUAAAAUAUUCUCAUAUAAGCAUGUGACCACAAUUAGAACAUGGAUGUACAUUUUGAAGUGUUUAUGUAUUCCUUUUGUUCCUAAAAUGCACUCCCUCCAUUCCAAAUUAUAAGAUUUUUGGUUUUAUCUAGAUACAUAAGUUUUGUUAUAUGCACUUGGAUAUACACUCAUGUCUAGAUACAUAAUAAAAGUAAUGUAUGUAGAAAAACCAAAAUGUCUUAUAAAUUGGAAUAGAGGGAGUAAGAUAUUUUAGCUUUCAUAGAUACAAUAGUUUUUACUACAAGCCAAAACAAGUUAUAAUUUAGAAUGGACGAAAUAUAUGAGAUAAAUUGAAAUGGGUGUAUUCAUGUCCUAAUAUUAUAGAACUAUAUAUAUCCUAAAUUCUCUCCCCUUCGCUAUGUGAUUCCACUAAUAAUAUAGUAAUAGCUUUAGUGCUAUAUAAGUGGUUAAUCAAACAAGGUUAAGAUUAUAUGUUUUGAUAUAUGUAUUUCUUGCAGAAAGCACUUGAAUUAGCCGUUGAGUUUACAAUUUUCUUUUUUUGUGUUCAUCUUGAUCCUUGUGUUGAUGAGCUUUACGUCGGUUUUUUCUCUUUAUUAUCUACUGACUGAUGAUUAUCCUUGCUACUCUCUCCAUUCUAAAUUAUAAGAUAUUUUUGUUUUAUCUAGAAUUCUAGAUACAGAGUUUUUUUCUAUACACUUAGAUAUACACUAGAAAAUCAAGAAUAUCUUAUGAUUUAGAAUGGAUGGAGCACUUCUUUAAUUACAGAAACUUUGUGCUUACAUAUUUGAAUGCAACUUUGAAAGUUGAAACACAUUGCAUGUGUGGAUCUUGGGUACUAGAACACAUCAGCAGGCGCGAGACUGUUCUAGCAGCGUGUGUUCGCUAAAGGAUGAUAUAAAUUAAACCCAUAUGUGAUUUCACAUUUUACGUAGGCAGAUCGAGCCGAGUGAAAUGUGGAUUAAUACCAGUAUUAGUGCAAUACUGAUGUAAUGACUAACGAACACAACAAACUUUAGAGAGUUAUUACAUUGUUGAAGCAAGUUUUGUGUUCUUCCAUAUAUCUGUUGACAUGUGUGCUGCAUGUAAUGUACUCUACUGUCACAUAAGUGAUCCUUCGACAUGGGCGCUAUCAGGCUAGAGCGCUGGACAUGUGGGGUGGGCUUUGGGCCUGCUCAAGCAACCAAGAGUUUGGUACAACACCUAAAAAGGAACAUAACAUCCACUCAAAAAAACCCUACGAAGGAACAAAGGAACGAACACAGGGUAUUGAACAAAAAGAACAAAGCUAGAAGCUCGAUUGUCUUCUUCCUCCGUCCAAGAACCCUCUUGCUAUUCUUGCUCCCUAUCCUACUUAGCUAUUUCCAAUCUCUACUCUCUUCUAUUUCUCUUGGAUUCUACACCAAACUGUUGUAAUUGUGAUAUGGUGGUAUAGGACUAUGACAAUAUUAUUUAUCAAAGCUUCCAAACCUGCC